AGGACGAACGCUGGCGGCGUGCUUAACACAUGCAAGUCGAACGAUGAACUCACCUUCGGGUGGGGGAUUAGUGGCGAACGGGUGAGUAACACGUGGGCAACCUGCCCCUGACUCUGGGAUAACUCCGGGAAACCGGAGCUAAUACCGGAUAUGAACACGAAGGACAUCCUUUGUGUUGGAAAGUUUUUCGGUAAGGGAUGGGCCCGCGGCCUAUCAGCUAGUUGGUGGGGUAAUGGCCCACCAAGGCGACGACGGGUAGCCGGCCUGAGAGGGCGACCGGCCAACGACUGGGACUGAGACACGGCCCAGACUCCUACGGGAGGCAGCAGUGGGGAAUAUUGCGCAAUGGGCGAAAGCCUGACGCAGCGACGCCGCGUGAGGGACGAAGGCCUUCGGGUUGUAAACCUCUUUCAGCAGGGACGAAGCGAAAGUGACGGUACCUGCAGAAGAAGCACCGGCAACUACGUGCCAGCAGCCGC
rnacentral:rRNA from 1 species